UGUAAAGAAGACGUAUCGUUUAUAAGUAUCUUGGCUUAUUACCUUUGCGGCCCCUUACGUAUCUCUCUAUCUGCACUCUCUCUAGCAUCGAAUCCGAUUCAAAGUUUACGCAACACCUAACGAUCCAAAAAGCUACGAUGAGCUCCCAUGAUCGCCGAUUCGCUGAUCCCAAUUCGUAUCGUCAACGCUCUCCCGCACCGGUUCGUUCGUCUCAGCCGAUGGAUCCUUCCGCCGCACCGUACAAUCCACGCUACAGCGGCGGCGGCGGCGGUGUUGGUGGAGGAGGAGGAGGAGGAGGAUACAGACCGGCUCCUGUAAUGUCCGGUGACGGUUCCGGGUAUGGUCAUUACCCGUCUUUUCACCCGCCUAGUAAUGGCUUCUCCGUCGGUCGCGGCGGAGGAAGAGGCGGUUACGGUGGGUACGGGGGUGUGAGGGGUGGGUACGGUGGAGGAGGACGUGGUGGAUCGGGUAGAAGAGAGCUGGAUAGCGUUUCUCUUCCGAAACAGAGUUUUGGGAAUCUGGUUCAUUUCGAGAAGAAUUUCUACGUGGAGAGUCCUGUGGUGCAGGCGAUGACGGAGGAGGAUGUUGCGUUGUAUAGGACUGAGAAGGAUAUAUCUGUUGAAGGGCGUGAUGUUCCUAAGCCUAUUAAGAUGUUCCAAGAUGCUAACUUUCCAGAUAAUAUUCUCGACGCAAUUGCUAAGUUGGGAUUUACUGAGCCAACACCAAUACAAGCUCAGGGAUGGCCAAUGGCUUUGAAGGGUAGGGAUUUGAUUGGUAUUGCUGAGACUGGCUCUGGUAAGACUUUGGCUUACUUGUUACCAGCGUUGGUCCACGUAAGUGCACAACCUCGAUUGGGUCAAGAUGAUGGACCCAUCGUUUUAAUAUUGGCUCCCACGAGAGAAUUAGCAGUUCAGAUUCAAGAGGAAUCAAGGAAGUUCGGGCUGCGAUCUGGUGUUAGAAGCACUUGUGUCUAUGGAGGUGCUCCUAAAGGACGUCAGAUUCACGAUCUUAGAAGAGGUGUUGAGAUUGUAAUUGCUACACCUGGUCGUUUGAUCGAUAUGUUGGAGUGCCAACACACUAAUUUGAAGAGGGUGACUUACCUUGUGCUGGAUGAGGCUGACAGAAUGUUAGACAUGGGAUUUGAACCCCAAAUUAGAAAGAUUGUGUCUCAGAUCCGACCUGACAGACAGACACUGCUUUGGAGUGCAACAUGGCCACGAGAAGUUGAAACUCUCGCCAGGCAGUUUCUACGAGAUCCGUACAAGGCCAUUAUUGGAUCAGCAGAUCUAAAAGCUAACCAGUCUAUUAACCAAGUAAUCGAGAUUGUACAGACGCCAGAGAAAUACAGCAGGCUCCUUACACUGCUUAAGCAGCUAAUGGAUGGAAGUAAAAUCUUAAUCUUUGUGGAGACAAAGAGAGGUUGUGAUCAAGUGACUAGACAACUGAGAAUGGAUGGAUGGCCAGCUCUUGCCAUACACGGUGACAAAAACCAAACGGAAAGAGAUCGUGUCUUGUCAGAAUUUAAGAGCGGAAGAAGCCCGAUAAUGACUGCCACUGACGUAGCAGCAAGGGGACUUGGUAGGAUUAUCCGUCACCUGCUUGCAUUAAUAGUGUUUUAACCUCGUCACACUCCUUAUCCCUGCAAGUUAAGAUGUGAAGGACAUAAAGUGUGUGGUUAACUAUGAUUUCCCAACUUCAUUGGAGGAUUACAUCCACAGGAUUGGUCGAACCGGGCGUGCAGGAGCUAAAGGAAUGGCCAUGACAUUCUUCACACAUGACAACGCUAAGUUUGCAAGAGAGCUUAUCAAGAUCCUUCAAGAAGCUGGUCAAGUUGUACCUCCCACUCUCUCUGCCCUAGUCCGAUCUUCCGGUUCUGGUGGUGGAGGUGGAGGUGGACGUAGUUUCAGGUCAAGAGGAGGAGGACGUGGUGGGUUUGGAGAUAAACGGCCAAGAUCAACCUCAAACUUUGUACCUCAUGGUGGCAAAAGGACUUGGUAGAGAGAAAGAGAGCUUGGUUCUCUUGUCAUGUUGAAGCUCUCUGUUGUAGAGAAACGAAUGUUUUAUUGAAUUAGUUGAUUUAUUUAAUAAAUCAAACAUGAUUAAUAUU